GUAGCGUGCGUACAUUAUGGCGUCGCUUAAAUGAUUUGAAAAUAAAGUCAAUUUAAAUGGUCUUUUUUAAUUAUGAUAUCUAUUUUAUUCACGUAUUUUCGAAAAAAAUAAUAAUAUAUUGUUAAAGUUUAAUGUCCUUUACAGCAGAAAAGAAGAAGUGUUUGGAAGAAGAUGCAAUAUGUGUGGGAAUAGCGAGUGGAAGAGGGAUAGAAAUAAGACGUAAAAGAGAAGGAGAUAUGCAGUUUAACUAUAAGCAUGAGCGGGAUGUACGUUCGGAAACCACAAAAUGUCUUAAUUUCUACCCGGCGGUCCCUCAGAGCCGCCAUUAUGUUUUGGCUGGAUUAUGUUGCAUCUCAACACAACGAAAAAAGCCGAAGUUUAACGAAAGAAUACGAAGAUCCAGUCAAAGGACCACACAAGUUAUAUAUCCGUCUUUCUCUAAUUUUGAGACGGCAUGGUUGAUAAAUAAAACAAAAGCAUUGAAUGAAACUUUUAGAAAUACUUGCAGUUUGAGUUGGAGGCUGCAGCCUGCAAUUACGUAUCGUCACAACUCACGUUUCCUUCAUGAGUAAAAACUCGAACGCGCCCACGGCAGGGCGGCUGAGUUGUCCUUUGAUGUUGCCGACAUAAAACGCCGCCGACGGUGAUUUAACUAAUGAAUUUAUUUAGCGGGCGUGCCGAGAGUCACUGCAUCCACGAGACUCAACAGCAAACUUUACAGUGUCAAGAAUUUACCACAAACUCUUAUUAGGUGUUCGUUUCUUAGAUGUUAAAAUUUUGAGGGUAUUUUGUUUUAUAUGUAAAAUUCCACAUAAUCUUUAAUUUACAUUACACAUAUUUUAUAAUAAAGUAUUUAUAUUC